rnacentral:tRNA from 1 species
GUGAUUAUAGCUCAGUUGGUUAGAGCGUCGGUUUGUGGUACCGAAGGUCGCCGGUUCGACCCCGGUUAGUCACC